AAAACCAUUCCGAUUCCAUUUAAACAAAACCGCCAGUUCCCCACCCAAAAUUUCGAAGCUUCCUCACCUCUUUGCUUCCUCACCUUCUUGCCAGAAGCCUCACCCGACGAUCCUCACCCGACGCUCCGUGCCCCGACGUUCCUCCACGAUUACCUCCGGCUCUCCUUCCCCGAGCGCACGGGAAACUGUGAUCACUUUGGGUCUAGGCGUCUGAUAGAAUCAAUGGGCCCUUCUGGGAGGGAGGGAUCUGGAGAGGAGGUGAAUUUAGAGGUUGCAAAUAUGGGCGAGGCUGCUUCUACUGAAGAGGGGGAUGUUGAUGCUAUCAAAGAAGACGAGGCUGCUUCUACUGAAGAGGGGGAUGCUGAUGCUACCAAAGAGGGGGAGGCUUCUACUGCAGAGGUUGAAAUGAAGGAUCCCAAGAUUCAUACGCGGUCCAGUCCGAACAGCGUCAUUUUAGCAGCUCAGGAACUGUCAUCAGAUGCACGGAACGUGGUUAUAACAGCAGGCUUUGAGCAGUUACUGUAUAUGUCCUUAGAGGGUUUUGGUAACAGAGAGAUAUUGAGGUUUCUUAUGAACAAUACACAUACAGAACAAACAUCUGAAGGUGUUGAGAUUAAGAUUGAAGGAUCUAAGUUACCCCCCAUCACGGAGAAUGUGGUGGCACAUGUUGUUGGUGUUCCUGAAGGUUCUGAAGCCAAGGAGACCAAAGAUGUUGAGCUGGAAGUUAAGUGCUUCUUCUUCAUCGCAUUCCAUACACUGCUGCUCCCAAAAAAGGAUGGUUAUCUCACUCUACACCAGAUGCAAGCGGGUAUGAACCUUGCAAGGAUACAAAGAAUUAAUUGGCGCAAGGUUCUUCUCAACCAUUUAAAAGAUGGUGUUAAAUCAUGGUGGAAAUCGCAAGCCAAAUCAACCAAGCCUGGUGCCAAAUCAACCAAGCCUGGUGGUGUCGCGUCUGUAUACAUAAGUGGUCCUGUGACUGUGCUUCUUUUAUAUUACUUGGACUUCCUAAAGUCAAAAUCCGAAAGCGAUGUCUCUCAGACGCCAAGAAUUUGUUACUACGGCGAAUCUAUGGUGACCGAUUUGGUGCAGGAAACUAUGCAAAAGGAUGGCAAGAGGUUUGACAACCUCAAGUUUCGCACAACCGAAGAGACCUGUUAUUCAAGAAGCUAUAAUGAAUGUGAGAAGGUGAAGGUGCAGAAAGUGUCUGGAAAGCAGAAAAAAAAUAAGCGCACUCGUCUUGGCAAAAACAAAGCGAAAAAGGGGAUAAAGAAGAAAAGGGCACGCAUGUCAACCCCGCGCGACGCUAUCAAGACUGUAAAGCAAAAUCAUUCGUCGAUUGUAGAGAUGUAUGAGAAGAUCAUGAAGACUCAGUCACAGAUGCCCUCGAAAAUGGAAAGCUUGGUAGACAGAUAUAAAGAUUUGGAUGAGUUCUAUUCAAAACACAUUAUGUCAAAAGCCGAUUGGGAACAGAAACAUUUCGGCAAUAAGGCUGCGGUGGAUAUUAAUGGCAUUACCAUUGCAGAACAUGAUUUUGUAAAAAGCAUGAAACUGAAUGGAUGGAUAAGUAACUUCAUUGUGGACGUGCAAUGCUCCAUAUGGAGGGAGGAGGAAGAAUGGAAAGACAAAAUAAUCCUUAGUCAAUCUGCUGUGAAUGAACUGUUGGGUUUAACCCAAAUCAGAGGCUAUGUGGAAAAGGAGUUGUCUAACCUAGCCAAAAAGAAGCAGAUAUUUGUCCCUAUCCUCGUUCGAGCUUUGGAUGGUUCUGGUUUACAUUGGUACUUGCUCGUGGUGGACAUUGAGAAUGGAAUAAGAUCCGAUUGUGGAUUCUAUAUGCUGCUGUAUAUGGAACGAUUUGGUAGAAUGAAAAUAGAUGACAUCAAUGAGAAUGAUGUAUUAAUGUAUCGCAAAAAACUUGUGAAGGACAUAUAUGAGAAUCCUAACAACAAUCCUAAGGAUAUUUGCGAAAUUCCCCUCCACGCCCAAAAUCUGACAGUAUCCCCCAUGAGUCAUGAAGAUGGGCGUAAUGAUGGCCCUCUGCCACCAUCCUCACCAGGGACAAGCGAUGACAAUGAACGCUCAAGGACAAGCGAUGAUGAGGCUGGAGGCAACGAGGUGGAUGAAGGUGAAAAAGGGGUGCCAUCAUCCCCACCACGCAGAGAACAAAAUCCAUCCCAUGCCCUCGAUAAAGACAUAGUUUAUUAUUCUAGAAAGAAGAAAGAGAAGAAAAGGAAAGAGAAGAGCAGGUCAAGCUUGGAUAAUGACUUAAUUCAACUGGGCAAGAGGUGCCGAAUUGCAACUACCAGGACUGCUAUAAAGACUACUAGACGCGAGUGGCCUGAUGAUGCGAUAGUUAAAGAGGUUUAUGAGCUUGCCACUGAUUGUAAGGAACAAGUAAUAUUGAAUUUCGGAGCUAUCGCAAUGACUGGUUCUGAAAUAGAACAGUCGUUCCAGAAAGUUGAGUGUGCCGGGGAUAUUAUCUCAUUAUUUAUUAAAUACCUGGAGAACAAUACGUAUCCUGAUGACAGCAGGAUCUUUGUCCCACCACUAUACAAGGGCAAAGGAGGUAUGAAGAAAAAGAUUAAAGAUGCACUCGGUGGAUCCAACGAAAAGAAAUCAGCAGUGGAGUUUCCUCAUCGAUUUAUAUACUGCCCUGUCUUAUUUCUCUGGUGAAUGGAUUGUGGUCUGUUUCCAACUGAAGAAUAUGAAACAGAUCGGUAUUCUUUGCAACAACGGUGGCGACGAAAUUAAAAAUUUCGCUUUGGAUUUGGGAAAGAAAUUAAACAAAGUCUUAGGAGACUGCAACUACAAAACAGUGUCAUUUGAUGAAAAAUCUCUGUCAUUUUUUCCGUCUUGUGUACAGCCCAAUGACAGUGUGUUCGCAGCCAUGUAUUUUCUUGAACAUUUCAUAGGUGUGGCAGGAGUGCUCAACAAGCUGACUUGGGAUGAAAAGAUGCGGGAUCAAUACAUUAAAUCUUACAGUCGAGGGAUUUUGACAUGCCUUAUCCAGCACAAGGAAAACACUGCAGAUGUGCCUGAUGGAAUUUUAGCAUUGCUCGAAUAGCUAUCUAGAUGAAUUUCUAUCUUAGCACUUAGUAUUUUGCUAUGUGAACUGUGGUCUUUUUUGCCAACAAUGUGUACAGCUAUUUAACUGUUGGUAUUUGUGGUAAAUACUACCGUGAACCUGUGAUGGCUUAUAUACUUAUUAUUAUCAUCGCUGUUGGUUCUUAUAUUACCUGACCUUGUGAGCUCUAUUAUGCGACCUGUGAUGGCUUA
rnacentral:lncRNA from 1 species